rnacentral:rRNA from 1 species
AGGACGAACGCUGGCGGCGUGCUUAACACAUGCAAGUCGAACGGAAAGGCCCCUUCGGGGGUACUCGAGUGGCGAACGGGUGAGUAACACGUGGGCAACCUGCCCCUAGCUCUGGGAUAACUCCGGGAAACCGGUGCUAAUACCGGAUAUUAACCUUGACGGGCAUCCGACGAGGUUGAAAGUUUUUCGGCUAGGGAUGGGCCCGCGGCCUAUCAGCUUGUUGGUGGGGUAAAGGCCUACCAAGGCGACGACGGGUAGCCGGCCUGAGAGGGCGACCGGCCACACUGGGACUGAGACACGGCCCAGACUCCUACGGGAGGCAGCAGUGGGGAAUAUUGCGCAAUGGGCGAAAGCCUGACGCAGCGACGCCGCGUGAGGGACGACGGCCUUCGGGUUGUAAACCGUCUUUCAGCUCUGACGAAGCGAAAGUGACGGUAGGAGCAGAAGAAGCACCGGCCAACUACGUGCCAGCAGCCGC